rnacentral:rRNA from 1 species
GUGGUAAUGCCGGAUGCUCCAUCACACCGCAUGGUGUGUUGGGAAAGCCUUUGCGGCAUGGGAUGGGGUCGCGUCCUAUCAGCUUGAUGGCGGGGUAACGGCCCACCAUGGCUUCGACGGGUAGCCGGCCUGAGAGGGCGACCGGCCACAUUGGGACUGAGAUACGGCCCAGACUCCUACGGGAGGCAGCAGUGGGGAAUAUUGCACAAUGGGCGCAAGCCUGAUGCAGCGACGCCGCGUGAGGGAUGGAGGCCUUCGGGUUGUAAACCUCUUUUGUUAGGGAGCAAGGCAUUUUGUGUUGAGUGUACCUUUCGAAUAAGCACCGGCUAACUACGUGCCAGCAGCCGCGGUAAUACGUAGGGUGCAAGCGUUAUCCGGAAUUAUUGGGCGUAAAGGGCUCGUAGGCGGUUCGUCGCGUCCGGUGUGAAAGUCCAUCGCUUAACGGUGGAUUCGCGCCGGGUACGGGCGGGCUUGAGUGCGGUAGGGGAGACUGGAAUUCCCGGUGUAACGGUGGAAUGUGUAGAUAUCGGGAAGAACACC